rnacentral:rRNA from 1 species
GGUAGGCUUAACACAUGCAAGUCGGACGGAAACGAUAGAGAAACUUGUUUUUCUAGGCGUCGAGUGGCGGACGGGUGAGUAACGCGUGGGAAUCUACCCUAUAGUUGGGGACAACAUAUGGAAACGUAUGCUAAUACCGAAUAUGCUCUACGGAGUAAAGGAGCCCUCUUCUUGAAAGGUUUCGCUAUAGGAUGAGCCCGCGUGAGAUUAGCUAGUUGGUAAGGUAAUGGCUUACCAAGGCAACGAUCUCUAGCUGGUUUGAGAGGAUGAUCAGCCACACUGGGACUGAGACACGGCCCAGACUCCUACGGGAGGCAGCAGUGGGGAAUAUUGCACAAUGAGCGAAAGCUUGAUGCAGCCAUACCGCGUGUGUGAAGAAGGCCCGAGGGUUGUAAAGCACUUUCAAUUGUGAGGAAGAUAGUAUAGUUAAUACCUGUAUUAUUUGACGUUAACUUUAGAAGAAGCACCGGCUAACUCUGUGCCAGCAGCCGCGGUAAUACAGAGGGUGCAAGCGUUAUUCGGAAUUACUGGGCGUAAAGCGCGCGUAGGCGGACUAUUAAGUCAGUUGUGAAAGCCCUGGGCUCAACCUGGGAACUGCAUCUGAUACUGGUAGUCUAGAGUUUAAGAGAGGGAAGUGGAAUUCCAGGUGUAGCAGUGAAAUGCGUAGAUAUCUGGAGGAACAUCAGUGGCGAAGGCGACUUCCUGGCUUAAAACUGACGCUGAGGUGCGAAAGCGUGGGUAGCGAACGGGAUUAGAUACCCCGGUAGUCCACGCCGUAAACGAUGUCAACUAGUUGUUGGUCUUAUUAAAAAGAUUAGUAACGAAGCUAACGCGAUAAGUUGACCGCCUGGGGA